GGGUGGUGGUGUGAGAACUGCCAAAUAACCUGGGAUAAUAAACAGACGACUGUACACUGAUCUGACUGUAAGGGAGAAACAGCAGGAUCUGACUUACUAGGUUUAAAAGGACAGUGUAUUCUUUCUAACAGUGAAGGGAAAAUGUACUUGUGAGAACAAUGUUAAAGCUCGGUAACAUCCACAGAGAAACUAAACCAUGCUCAACUCGCCAUCUAUCAUUGAGCUCCCCAACCUUCAAGUGGGAUGGGCCAGAAUUAAAGUGCUCAUGUUCUUCCUGGAAAUGCCAUCCCCAAUCCCAGACUGCUUCACAAGUGGGUCACAAAAGGGACAAAUACAUUGUCAAGGCUCAAGAAGUGUGCAAAUGGUAGGAGAAAGAGCUGAAUACAGAAAGAAAAACUCAUUAGAAGUCUGACCCACCUGGACUUGGAUGCCGGCUUACUACCUGGAAAAUUGUGAAUAAAUUCCCUAACUUCUCCCAGCUUCUGUUUCAAGUGUGAAAUAAAGACAUCUCAACUCUCACCAGGGAUUAGAGUGUGAGACAAUAUUUAUUUAUUCAUUCAAGAUAUAUGUACUGAGCCAGGUUUCUGACAGUCUAAGUUCUAGGAAUAGAGUGAUGAAG
rnacentral:lncRNA from 1 species